rnacentral:rRNA from 1 species
GUCCACGCCCUAAACGAUGAUUACUCGAUGUGUGCGAUACACUGUACGCGUCUGAGCGAAAGCAUUAAGUAAUCCACCUGGGGAGUACGGCCGCAAGGCUGAAACUCAAAGGAAUUGACGGGGGCCCCGCACAAGCGGAGGAGCAUGUGGUUUAAUUCGAUGAUACGCGAGGAACCUUACCAGGGCUUGAAAGUUAGGGAAUUAUCUGGAAACAGGUAAGUCAGCAAUGACCCGAAACUAGGUGCUGCAUGGCUGUCGU